rnacentral:rRNA from 1 species
AUUGAACGCUGGCGGCCUGCUUUACACAUGCAAGUCGAACGGGCUUAGGUGCUUGCACCUAAGUUAGUGGCGAACGGGUGAGUAAUGCAUCGGAACGUACCGUGUAGUGGGGGAUAACCCGGCGAAAGUCGGAUUAAUACCGCAUACGAUCUAAGGAUGAAAGCAGGGGAUCGCAAGACCUUGCGCUAUACGAGCGGCCGAUGUCGGACUAGCUCGUUGGUAGGGUAAAGGCCUACAAAGGCAACGAUCCGUAGCGGGUCUGAGAGGAUGAUCCGCCACACUGGGACUGGCACACGGCCCAGACUCCUACGGGAGGCAGCAGUGGGGAAUUUUGGACAAUGGGCGAAAGCCUGAUCCAGCCAUGCCGCGUGAGUGAGGAAGGCCUUCGGGUUGUAAAGCUCUUUUGUCCGGGAGCAAAUCCUGUUCACUAAUACUGAGCGGGGCUGAGAGUACCGGAAGAAUAAGCACCGGCUAACUACGUGCCAGCCGCCGCCGUAA